CCCAACUUCUUGUGCACCCCCAGCCUACUUGCUGGUGGGGUGGUAUGAAAAGCAGAAAAUGCCUUGACUCUUUGUAAGUACUGCUCAGCAGUAACAACAUCAUCUCGGCAUUAUCAAUACUGUUUUCAUCACAAAUCCAAAACAUAGCCCCAUA